UACGAGGGGGGCAAGCGUUGUUCGGAAUUAUUGGGCGUAAAGGGCGCGUAGGCGGUUUGGCAAGUUUGGUGUGAAAUCUUCGGGCUCAACUCGAAGUCUGCAUCGAAAACUGCCGGGCUUGAGUAUGGGAGAGGUGAGUGGAAUUUCCGGUGUAGCGGUGAAAUGCGUAGAUAUCGGAAGGAACACCUGUGGCGAAAGCGGCUCACUGGACCAUUACUGACGCUGAGGCGCGAAAGCUAGGGGAGCAAACGGGG
rnacentral:rRNA from 1 species